rnacentral:rRNA from 1 species
UACGGAGGAUCCAAGCGUUAUCCGGAAUCAUUGGGUUUAAAGGGUCCGUAGGCGGGCCUGUAAGUCAGUGGUGAAAUCUUUCGGCUCAACCGGAAAAUUGCCAUUGAUACUGCAGGCCUUGAAUUAUUGGGAAGUAACUAGAAUAUGUAGUGUAGCGGUGAAAUGCUUAGAUAUUACAUGGAAUACCGAUUGCGAAGGCAGGUUACUAUCAAUAUAUUGACGCUGAUGGACGAAAGCGUGGGGAGCGAACAGG